UGGCUCAGGAUGAACGCUGGCGGCGUGCUUCAUGCAUGCAAGUCGAACGGGGACUUUUUGGGUAGCAAUACUUGGGAAGUCCUAGUGGCGAUCGGGUGAGUAACACGUAGGUGACCUGCCCUGAAGUGGGGGAUAACGGUCCGAAAGGACUGCUAAUACCCCGUGUGAUGGGCGAUUCAAUUUGCUCAUGAUAGGUUCCGAAAGGUUCCGCUUCAGGAGGGGCCUGCGGCCCAUCAGGUAGUUGGUGGGGUAACGGCCUACCAAGCCGAUGACGGGUAGCUAGUCUGAGAGGACGAUUAGUCACACUGGCACUGACACACGGGCCAGACUCCUACGGGAGGCAGCAGCAGGGAAUAUUGCACAAUGGGCGAAAGCCUGAUGCAGCAACGCCGCGUGAGGGAUGAAGGCCUUCGGGUCGUAAACCUCUUUUACAGAGGACGAGAAGGGACGGUACUCUGCGAAUAAGACACGGCUAACUACGUGCCAGCAGCCGCGGUAAUACGUAGGUGUCGAGCGUUAUUCGGAUUUACUGGGCGUAAAGCGCACCGAGGUGGCAUCUUAAGUCGGAUGUGAAAUCUCCUGGCUUAACUGGGAGACGCCAUUCGAGACUGAGGAGCUUGAGGUCAGCAGGGGAAAGUGGAAUUCCCGGUGUAGUGGUGGAAUGCGUAGAGAUCGGGAGGAACACCAGUGGCGAAAGCGACUUUCUGGGCUGCACCUGACACUCUAGUGCGAAAGCGUGGGGAGCAAACAGGAUUAGAUACCCUGGUAGUCCACGCCCUAAACUAUGGAUACUAGGUGUGGGGGGUAUUGACCCCCUCCGUGCCGAAGCCAACGCGUUAAGUAUCCCGCCUGGGGACUACGGCCGCAAGGGUAAAACUUCAAU
rnacentral:rRNA from 1 species